rnacentral:rRNA from 1 species
GACGAACGCUGGCGGCGUGCCUAAUACAUGCAAGUAGAACGCACAGUUUAUACCGUAGCUUGCUACACCAUAGACUGUGAGUUGCGAACGGGUGAGUAACGCGUAGGUAACCUGCCUGGUAGCGGGGGAUAACUAUUGGAAACGAUAGCUAAUACCGCAUAAUAUUGAUUAUUGCAUGAUAAUUGAUUGAAAGAUGCUAUUGCAUCACUACCAGAUGGACCUGCGUUGUAUUAGCUAGUAGGUGAGGUAACGGCUCACCUAGGCGACGAUACGUAGCCGACCUGAGAGGGUGAUCGGCCACACUGGGACUGAGACACGGCCCAGACUCCUACGGGAGGCAGCAGUAGGGAAUCUUCGGCAAUGGACGAAAGUCUGACCGAGCAACGCCGCGUGAGUGAAGAAGGUUUUCGGAUCGUAAAGCUCUGUUGUAAGAGAAGAACGGGUGUGAGAGUGGAAAGUUCACACUGUGACGGUAUCUUACCAGAAAGGGACGGCUAACUACGUG